rnacentral:rRNA from 1 species
CAGUCGCCGCGGGAAUACGUAGGGUGCAAGCGUUAAUCGGAAUUACUGGGCGUAAAGCGUGCGCAGGCGGUUCUAUAAGACAGAUGUGAAAUCCCCGGGCUCAACCUGGGAACUGCAUUUGUGACUGUAGAGCUGGAGUACGGCAGAGGGGGAUGGAAUUCCGCGUGUAGCAGUGAAAUGCGUAGAUAUGCGGAGGAACACCGAUGGCGAAGGCAAUCCACUGGGCCUGUACUGACGUUCAUGCACGAAAGCGUGGGGAGCAAACAGGAUUAGAUACCCGCGUAGUCCCUGUCUCUUAUAC